rnacentral:rRNA from 1 species
ACGAACGCUGGCGGCGUGCUUAACACAUGCAAGUCGAACGGAAAGGCCCUGCUUGCAGGGUACUCGAGUGGCGAACGGGUGAGUAACACGUGGGUGAUCUGCCCUGCACUUCGGGAUAAGCCUGGGGAACUGGGUCUAAUACCGGAUAUGACCUUCCAUGUAGUGUGGGGGGUGGAAAGAUUUAUCGGUGUGGGAUGAGCCCGCGGCCUAUCAGCUUGUUGGUGGGGUAAUGGCCUACCAAGGCGUCGACGGGUAGCCGGCCUGAGAGGGUGGACGGCCACAUUGGGACUGAGAUACGGCCCAGACUCCUACGGGAGGCAGCAGUGGGGAAUAUUGCACAAUGGGCGGAAGCCUGAUGCAGCGACGCCGCGUGGGGGAUGACGGCCUUCGGGUUGUAAACCUCUUUCGACAGGGACGAAGCUUCGGUGACGGUACCUGUAUAAGAAGCACCGGCUAACUACGUG